rnacentral:rRNA from 1 species
UACAGGGGGGGCAAGCGUUGUUCGGAUUACUGGGCGUAAAGGGUCUGUAGGUGGCCAACUAAGUCUAGACGUGAAAUCCCUCAGCUUAACUGGGGAACUGCGUCUGAUACUGGAUGGCUUGAGUGUGGGAGAGGAAUGCGGAUUCCAGGUGUAGCGGUGAAUGCGUAGAUAUCUGGAGGAACACCGGUGGCGAAGGCGGCGAUUCUGGACCAUAACUGACACUGAGAGACGAAGCCAGGGAGACAACGGGAGU